UUCCUACACACAGCCGCACGCAACUACAAAUGUCAUAAUGUCCGGCUUUUACUGAAGUUUUGUUUGACUGAGCUACAGACGGGAGAUGGACAUAAGGCGUUUUUUUUCGAAGAAAAGGAAAGUGGUUGAGAUUGAGAGUGAGUCAGAGGCAAGGGCACUAUGCAGGGGCAGUGGAGACAGCUCUGUUGCUGAGGAACAACAGUCAUUAGAUAGGGAAGAGGGAGAGGGAAAUAUUGAGAGCAAGAGAGAGAGAACGGCCCAUUCUGAUGGAGAUGCAAGAGAGAGGGAUGCUGAGAGAGACGAGGGUGAG